UGAACGCUAGCGGCAGGCCUAAUACAUGCAAGUCGGACGGGAUUGAGAUUAAAGCUUGCCUUGAUUUCAUGAGAGUGGCGCACGGGUGCGUAACGCGUGAGCAACCUACCCAUAUCAGGGGGAUAGCCUCUCGAAAGAGAGAUUAACACCGCAUAACAUCAUUUACCGGCAUCGGUUUAUGAUCAAAUAUUUAUAGGAUAUGGAUGGGCUCGCGUGACAUUAGCUAGUUGGAGGGGUAACGGCCCACCAAGGCUACGAUGUCUAGGGGCUCUGAGAGGAGAAUCCCCCACACUGGUACUGAGACACGGACCAGACUCCUACGGGAGGCAGCAGUAAGGAAUAUUGGUCAAUGGAGGGAACUCUGAACCAGCCAUGCCGCGUGCAGGAUGACUGCCCUAUGGGUUGUAAACUGCUUUUUCAGGGAUAACCUUCACGUGUGGAAGCUGAAUGUACCUGAAGAAUAAGGAUCGGCUA
rnacentral:rRNA from 1 species